GUGAGGAAGGACACACUCCUGUGAGAAUGUGCAGAGCGGCACCCCGCCCUGACACGAGGGCGCCGGAAAAGGUUCCAGAGGGCGCAGCGCCAACGCCGAGCUCUAAAAGCAGGGACACACCCAAGGGAGAAAGAGCUGGCACUGAAUAAAUAUGGACAAAACUGAGAUACAUUUAAUAAACAACACAAGAAGACAUGGUGUUUGCCUGGAUCCAAGUUGAAAGUGAAAGGGAAGAGACAAGAAUAAUCAGCAUCAGGAAAAUUGAGUCUCGCGCACAGCUGGCCAAAGCAAGGCCUGCAUGGGAAGAGAAACCACAGCGCACAGGUCCCCCUCUGGCCCCAGCGCAGCCCGCCCGCCCGCCCGACGCGCGCCCGCAGGACCACUAGGGGUGGGGGUGGAGCGCCGACUUCCCAAGAGCACACAGAAGUCAUUCUCAGAGUCAGCAAAAAAGGAGAUCUGCCGCCACCAGAAUAGGAAAAGAUAAACCAGGUAAUAGAUAAGAGG